CCCUCACACACACACACACACACACACACACACACACACACACACACACACACACACACACACACACACACACACACACACACACACACACACACACACACACACACACACACACACACACACACACACACACACACACACACACGUUCCCUCAACACGUAAUCCGUCAGCCAUCUCAACACACUCAAUCCAUUUCAUCACGCAUCUCGCCUUGUUCCUCUUCCACUCUCACUCUAUUUUCAUUAUCUUUAAUCGUCUCGUUCAUCUAAUUGUGGAAAAAAAAAAAAAAGUUCAGCAGUUAUGGAAGUCUGACAUUGCCUAAUAAGCGGCUCUUUUCCCUCUCACCUCCUUGCAUGAACACAAAGAAAUAGAGAUCCUGGGAUAUCUACCAAGGAAUACUCCACAAGUGCACCCAAAGUAGCGUAUAAUAUUUUUGGUGUGGUGAAUGACUCGUGUGGGAUAGCACUGGCAUAUAGAGUCCGCCAAAAUAACUACUGUUUCUUGUCUAUUUAUUUAUUUUUUGCAUCAGGCACUGAGCUGCAAGUCAGGCAAGUAAAAUUAUGGUUAGUCCGCCGAUCAAAACUGGCCUGAAAGCACAGUCACGAGUUUUCAAACCAGUUAAGUUCCUGACGUGAUCUAAUGUCUGACUCUUCAAAGUAUGUGUGUGUGGAAGGUGGAGGGAGUGGAGGCAGACUAUUCCACAUGCCGCACACACACACACACACACACACACACACACACACACACACACACACACACACACACACACACACACACACACACACACCUCCCAACACGAGAUCACACCAUGGGACCCGCCGAUAACAGAACACCACGCAGGCAACUUUACUGCGAACGCUGGACAAGUGGUCACGUGGAUAUCACGGGCAGUACUUGCCCUGGCUGCGGAACAUUAUAAACAACGACGUCCUGCCAAUCACAGCGUCGCUACGUGUACAUCACGAGGAUGGAAGCAAAAUCGACGGAAGCUACAUAUCGAUGAGAACACCACUACUACCACCACCACCACCACCACUACCACCGCCAACAACACCAACGCAAAAGUGCCUCCUUUGGAAUGACGCCCCGCCUGCUGCCCCGCUCCAGGCCUGGCGUGGGGACGGGCCGCUGCUCCCAUCCCUCCCUCGCAGCAGAAGGGCACAGGUCACCGAUGAUUCACAAGCCACCAUGGAGGGUGAAGAACUGUGAAUCUGUGACUCAACCUGACAUACUAAUUAAGAAGAAGCAAAGACUGUGACUGCUGUACAGAUACGUCCAGGUCGCAACUGACUUCUCUAUAUUUGCCUGCCCAUGUCCAAUAAAGUUUCGUAAACAA